UACGGAGGGUGCGAGCGUUGUCCGGAAUUACUGGGCGUAAAGGGCGCGUAGGCGGCCUGCUAAGUCGAACGUGAAAUCCCCGGGCUUAACCCGGGAACUGCGUCCGAUACUGGUGGGCUUGAAUCCGGGGAGAGGGAUGUGGAAUUCCAGGUGUAGCGGUGAAAUGCGUAGAUAUCUGGAGGAACACCGGUGGCGAAGGCGGCAUCCUGGACCAACACUGACACUGAGGAGCGAAAGCCAGGGGAGCAAACGGG
rnacentral:rRNA from 1 species